GUAAUACCGGAUGACAUCCCCUCCUCGCAUGGGGAGGUGCUCAAAGGUCCGCCGGUCUGGGAGCGGGCGAUUUCGUAUCAGCUAGUUGGUGCGGGUAACGGCCCACCAAGGCGACGACGCGUAGCCGGACUGAGAGGUUGGCCGGCCACAUUGGGACUGAGACACUGCCCAGACUCCUACGGGGGGCUGCAGUAACGAAUCUUCCGCAAUGCACGCAAGUGUGACGGAGCGACGCCGCGUGGAGGACGAAGUUCUUCGGAAUGUAAACUCCUGUCAGGGGAAAGAAAGCUACUGAUCUACCCCAGAGGAAGAGGCGGCUAACUCUGUGGGGCCCCCGCCCCCAAAAGCAAGCCAGCGGUAAUACGCGGGAAUGGCCUCGAGUCGAGCGUGUGUAGGCGGACUUCUAAGUAGGGAAUCACUGGGCUUAAAGGGCAGUGUGUAAAGGCGGAACUUUUCUAAGUACCUUGUGAAAUCCCACGGCUCACCCGUGGAACGGCUGGGUAUACUGGGAGUCUUGAGCCACCUAGGGGCUGCCGGAACAAAUGGUGGAGCGGUGAAAUGCGUAGAUAUCAUUUGGAACGCCAACGGUGAAACAGGCAGCUGGGGGUGUGCUGACGCUGAGACACGAAAGCCAGGGGAGCGAACG
rnacentral:rRNA from 1 species